UACGGGGGGAGCAAGCGUUGUUCGGAUUUACUGGGCGUAAAGCGUGCGCAGGCGGUUAUGUAAGACAGAUGUGAAAUCCCCGGGCUCAACCUGGGAACUGCAUUUGUGACUGCAUAGCUUGAGUGCGGCAGAGGGGGAUGGAAUUCCGCGUGUAGCGGUGAAAUGCGUAGAUAUCGAGAGGAACACCUGCGGCGAAGGCGGGUUGCUGGGCUGAUACUGACGCUGAGGCGCGAAAGCCAGGGGAGCGAACGGGG
rnacentral:rRNA from 1 species